rnacentral:rRNA from 1 species
UCCAGACUCCUACGGGAGGCAGCAGUGAGGAAUAUUGGUCAAUGGGCGAGAGCCUGAACCAGCCAAGUCGCGUGAAGGAUGACGGCCCUACGGGUUGUAAACUUCUUUUGUCAGGGAGCAAUUGGGUCCACGCGUGGGCUUAGCGAGAGUACCUGAAGAAAAAGCAUCGGCUAACUCCGUGCCAGCAGCCGCGGUAAUACGGAGGAUGCGAGCGUUAUCCGGAUUUAUUGGGUUUAAAGGGUGCGUAGGCGGUUUUAUAAGUUAGAGGUGAAAUCUCGGGGCUCAACUCCGAAAUUGCCUCUAAUACUGUAGGACUAGAGAGUAGUUGCGGUAGGCGGAAUGUAUGGUGUAGCGGUGAAAUGCUUAGAGAUCAUACAGAACACCGAUUGCGAAGGCAGCUUACCAAACUAUAUCUGACGUUGAGGCACGAAAGCGUGGGGAGCAAACAGGAUUAGAUACCCCUGUAA